GAAUUUUGGACAAUGGGCGAAAGCCUGAUGCAGCAAUGCCGCGUGCAGGAUGAAGGCCUUCGGGUUGUAAACUGCUUGUGUACGGAACGAAAAGCUUUGGGUUAAUACCCUGGAGUCAUGACGGUACCGGAAGAAGAAGCACCGGCUAACUACGGCCGCGCAGCCACGGACAUACGGAGGGUGCAAGCGUUAAACGGAAUUACUUGGCGUAAAGCGUGCGCAGGCGGUGUUGUGAGACAGAGGUGAAAUCCCCUGGCUCAACCUGGGAACUGCCUUUGUGACUGCAAGGCUAGAGUACGGCAGAGGGGGGUGGAAUUCCGCGUGUAGCAGUGAAAUGCGUAGAUAUGCGGAGGAACACCGAUGGCGAAGGCAACCCCCUGGGCCUGUACUGACGCUCAUGCACGAAAGCGUGGGGAGCAAACA
rnacentral:rRNA from 1 species